rnacentral:misc_RNA from 1 species
GCCAGCUAUAAAACCUACCUAGUAAAUAGAUCUAAAACAUUAAAAAAUAACAACUAAAAAAGAGAAAGAUCAGAUCGCGACGUAGAAACAAAUCCGAUCUAUUAUCACAGAGCUAACAGAUAAAAAAACAAAUGCUAGCGUAGAUCGAGUAAAUUUCACCAUUAUACCUUUCUAAACAACAGAAACCAAACUCCAACAAAAUUGGAAAAUAGCAAAACGGAUCAAAAGGGAUAGCGAAAGAGAAAAUCAGAAAGAAAAUAAGCAGAUUUGAAUAGAAUCGAAAAAAAGAGUCGGUGUAGCUUCUUUUUCGUGGUUUACCUGCUAGGUGGAUGCGAUUGAUGGGUAGAAUUUUCCCUCCGCCUCUCGCAAAACUUUGAAAGGAGGAAUCGGCAAAAGGGCAGAGAGAAAUUUGUGGAGGCUAUGCUUUGAAAAGAG